rnacentral:sRNA from 1 species
AUGGCACGUGUUUGACGCCAGCUUAUGGAUGGUUGACAUGGUGGAUUAGUGGAAAUCCGCUAGAUUUCUGUGGAAAAAGAGUAGAACUAUUGGAUCGAACAUGACGACGGUGAAAUCGAAUGUUUGCAUAACGCUUUCUUUUUGAGACUUAAAAGUGACAGAUCGUCGACACAAAGACAGCAAAGAAAA